CUUGAGAAUAUAUUUGACUGUGUUACAGACUAAGGGACAUUCUCUGCUGAUAGGUGAAGGUACAUUCUCUGCUGAUAGACGUCCACGCCUCGGAGGAAGCCGAUCCACGGAGUAGGCCCUGGAAACAGUUUCCUUCAAUUUUGGUGUCAGAAGUGGGAUCCUGACGAAGGUAGGCACUCGUCUUUUAUUUUAUAAGACUGUGUUAUGCCUUUCUCAGUGAUCCACAUAGAAACGGGAUACGCUGACGAGGCCUUCUUCAGUGGCCCACAUAGUAACAAGUGGGAUACACUGAGGAGCCUUCUUUAGUGGCCCACAUAGAAACACAGGAAGUUGCCUGUUGUUUUGUAAAUAAAAGCAGAAAGGACACAGGAAGUUGCCUGCUGUCAUAAACUAAGAAGUUGCUCACCAGCAGAAAGGACACAGGAAGUUGCCUGGGGUCAUAAAACGAGAAGUUGCUCGUUAAAAAGUGAGAAGUUGCUCACUAAAAACAUAAAAUUGCUAGCAAAAAAUCAAGUAACCUCAGGUGUGCCACAGCAAAAAUAAAAACUAACUUAAAUCCUUCAAAGCGUCUAAACCCCUCUGGAAAUCACUGACCAUGGGUCAGAAUAAUUCAAAGACCUUAGACGGGUCCGAUAAAAAAUCAAAAUUAACUGUAAAACCGAAAAAAAUAAAAUAUAAAAUCACAAAUAGCGGCUCAGUACGACUCCCACUUCCGGUUACGUUUAACCCACGCUCGCGAAUCAAUGAAGACUUCCAUGAUUACGUAUCCAGAACAUGCGGAAGUGCUUACGUGACUGAUUUCGUCUCGAACUUAAGAACUAUAACUUUAAUGCAUCCUAAUGUAUUUCCGGAGCCCUAUCCCGAACGAUUAUCGCCAGAAAACAGGAACAGCCUCUGUGUCAGCUGGACGCCUCAGCGGAGAAUGAACUCAAUAUCCAUCUGACUGGUAUCCCACGUCACACUCUGUGUCAAAAACAUGUGCAAACACCGUUACCAGACUUUUGCAGGCUAUACAGCUGCCAUCGGCAAUUGCAGUUGUUAAAACGAAGGGGCACAGCACGGCUGACACAGACGAAGCAGUGGGAAAUGCUCUUGCAGACGUAACCGCGAAAGCAGCUGCUGCCUCACAGCAACCACCCAGAAGGGAAGUAUUAUCUUUGCCUUUACAGCUGCCACUUGUCACGCUCCCAGACUAUUUAGAAACAAAUGUUGACCUAAAAUUCAUACAAGAGCAAGCCUCUGCCUUAGAUUACAC
ensembl:lncRNA